rnacentral:lncRNA from 1 species
UACUGAAAAAAGGUAAAUACUGUAUUAAACAUAGUACAGAUGUACUUCGCUUGCUAAUUUUAAUUUCCAUUUAGAUCUAACAUGACGUCGUACUUAUAAUUUCCACAAAAUAUUGCCGGUCACUUGCGUAUGUUGGAUGUGAAAAACAACAAUAUACACUUUGAUACUUUGAGGCUAUAAGAAAUAGUAGGGAUGAUAUGCUAACCCUUCCAGUCUGCAACAAUUUAUUCCUGGUCCCCUUGCCUCGCUUACAGUUCAUGUAGUACCAUUUUUAUGCUUCAAACCACCCACGACAUCCCUCUUCCGCCCAUUCUAUUUUAUUGAUAUUGCUUCCAAAUACACAUAUGCAUGUAGUUACUCUUUUACAGUACUAAUGCCAGAUAUCAUAAGGUAGAAAAAUGUAGUGCUAUUUUAGUUAUGGAGUCAGCAAUGCAUGUUACUGGAAUGAUCAACUAGCAUGCAAAUGAGCUCCAUUUCUUCUCUUUCAGAUACGAUCUUAUGUUCUGCCUGAACAUAGAUGCUUCCGCUGUGCACUCCAUUGUUCUGUCUUAUCACAAUUGGGUAUUGAAAGCGCCUAUUUUGAAUGCAACAAUUUAAAUAUUUACUGCUCUCUGUCUCCCCAUGUUUAGUGACGACGAAGUGAUGCAUACGGAAACAUGUUCGAUAAGAAACAGCAUGUCAAUAUGGAAUAUAAGCUGAGUGAGUAUUGUGUAUGAUGAGCCCUCCAAACUUUUUGCAAGGCCUGUAAAACAGUGGAAUGCAGCACUAGCAGAAAGGAAGAGCUGUAGACUCAAUCGUGGACUACUUGAGUUAACUAUUUGCUCAAUACAUCAAGCACCAGGCCUCUCCUACUCCUGCUCUCAAAAUGGAAAAGGAGAUCAGGCAACUAGGGAUCUGAGUACUAUAAUUUGAUAAUUUGUGUUUUUUGGGUGCUAAAAUAAUAUGAAUAUUGAUGUACAUUUUUCUUAUGAUCAGGCAUGAAAGUGUCACCUUUUCUUAGAAGUGCCUUAUUCUUAGCCAGUCCUUCCAAUUAACACCUUAUUGAUUGGAACAUAAUGAGUAAAUGUAUGUGUGGUUCUUUCUGUUUAAGAGAUUCAGAUGAAAUUAUGGAAGCUACAACCUCUGUAUCUUAAGACCUUUUUUAUACCAAAAAGCUCCUUGCACAUUAAGUUAUUACAGAGGGAGUAU